rnacentral:rRNA from 1 species
AGGCUUAACACAUGCAAGUCGAGGGGCAUCAGGAAGAAAGCUUGCUUUCUUUGCUGGCGACCGGCGCACGGGUGAGUAACACGUAUCCAACCUGCCCUUUACUCGGGGAUAGCCUUUCGAAAGAAAGAUUAAUACCCGAUAGCAUAAUGAUUCCGCAUGGUUUCAUUAUUAAAGGAUUCCGGUAAAGGAUGGGGAUGCGUUCCAUUAGGUUGUUGGUGAGGUAACGGCCCACCAAGCCUUCGAUGGAUAGGGGUUCUGAGAGGAAGGUCCCCCACAUUGGAACUGAGACACGGUCCAAACUCCUACGGGAGGCAGCAGUGAGGAAUAUUGGUCAAUGGGCGCUAGCCUGAACCAGCCAAGUAGCGUGAAGGAUGAAGGCUCUAUGGGUCGUAAACUUCUUUUAUAUAAGAAUAAAGUGCAGUAUGUAUACUGUUUUGUAUGUAUUAUAUGAAUAAGGAUCGGCUAACUCCGUGCCAGCAGCCGCGGUAAUACGGAGGAUCCGAGCGUUAUCCGGAUUUAUUGGGUUUAAAGGGAGCGUAGGUGGACUGGUAAGUCAGUUGUGAAAGUUUGCGGCUCAACCGUAAAAUUGCAGUUGAUACUGUCAGUCUUGAGUACAGUAGAGGUGGGCGGAAUUCGUGGUGUAGCGGUGAAAUGCUUAGAUAUCACGAAGAACUCCGAUUGCGAAGGCAGCUCACUGGACUGCAACUGACACUGAUGCUCGAAAGUGUGGGUAUCAAACAGGAUUAGAUACCCUGGUAGUCCACACAGUAAACGAUGAAUACUCGCUGUUUGCGAUAUACAGUAAGCGGCCAAGCGAAAGCAUUAAGUAUUCCACCUGGGGAGUACGCCGGCAACGGUGAAACUCAAAGGAAUUGACGGGGGCCCGCACAAGCGGAGGAACGUGUGGUUUAAUUCGAUGAUACGCGAGGAACCUUACCCGGGCUUAAAUUGCAGUGGAAUGAUGUGGAAACAUGUCAGUGAGCAAUCACCGCUGUGAAGGUGCUGCAUGGUUGUCGUCAGCUCGUGCCGUGAGGUGUCGGCUUAAGUGCCAUAACGAGCGCAACCCUUAUCUUUAGUUACUAACAGGUUAUGCUGAGGACUCUAGAGAGACUGCCGUCGUAAGAUGUGAGGAAGGUGGGGAUGACGUCAAAUCAGCACGGCCCUUACGUCCGGGGCUACACACGUGUUACAAUGGGGGGUACAGAAGGCAGCUAGCGGGUGACCGUAUGCUAAUCCCAAAAUCCUCUCUCAGUUCGGAUCGAAGUCUGCAACCCGACUUCGUGAAGCUGGAUUCGCUAGUAAUCGCGCAUCAGCCACGGCGCGGUGAAUACGUUCCCGGGCCUUGUACACACCGCCCGUCAAGCCAUGGGAGCCGGGGGUACCUGAAGUACGUAACCGCAAGGAUCGUCCUAGGGUAAAACUGGUGACUGGGGCU